ACACUUUCAACGAGUCGGAUUGUUUGGGAAUGCAGUCCAAAAUGGGUGGUAAAUUUCAUCUAAAGCUAAAUAUUGGCGAGAGACCGAUAGCGAACAAGUACCGUGAGGGAAAGAUGAAAAGAACUUUGAAAAGAGAGUUAAACAGUACGUGAAAUUGUCAAAAGGGAAGCGUUUGACACCAGUGUUGUUUUUCCGAAAAUCAAUUACGAAUGUUUUGUUUUUGAGGAGUUAUGACUUCAUCGGCUUGCUCCUUUCUUUACGAAACUUUCUUAAUGCACUUUUCGGUUAACAAGUCAACAUCAAUUUCUUUUGUUGUAAAAGGGUAUGAGGAAGGUGGCUUUCUUUUCGGAGAAAGUGUUUAUAGCCUUGUGCCUCUGCAAUCGGAGAGAUUGAGGUCUGCAGCGUAGAUCCUUCGGGGUUAGAUACAUUUGUGCUAAGUUAUAGCUUUUCAUAGACAACUUGUUGACUAUGUUUAGUCUUGUAGCUUACUCGCUGAUGCCA
rnacentral:rRNA from 1 species